rnacentral:rRNA from 1 species
UACGGGGGGGGUAAGCGUUGUUCGGAAUUACUGGGCGUAAAGGGCUCGUAGGCGGCCAACUAAGUCAGACGUGAAAUCCCUCGGCUUAACCGGGGAACUGCGUCUGAUACUGGAUGGCUUGAGUUUGGGAGAGGGAUGCGGAAUUCCAGGUGUAGCGGUGAAAUGCGUAGAUAUCUGGAGGAACACCGGUGGCGAAGGCGGCAUCCUGGACCAACACUGACACUGAUGAGCGAAAGCCAGGGGAGCAAACGGG